CUCCUGCUCCCGCGGGCCUUGGGCCUUUACCUAAUGCAGCCAUGUCAUCGCUUCUGAAAUGUAAAGCCAAACUGCUUCUCAGAAGAGGAGAUCUGAGCUGUGGGAUCACACGUGUAGUCGAGCACUCCAGCUUUUUGGCUGUUUGCUUGUAUUUGAAUCACAAGUUUCGUGCCAGCGAUAUAAAAAGAUUGUUAACAAAUGGCCAUUAAAACCGAAGACCUUGAAACUAAUUACACACAACGCUCAAAAAGAACUCGCUCUGCUAAUUGAGCGGAGCUCGUUACUUGUGAAGUAGGGAGGCUCAGCCUCCACUCACGGUGGAACAUACGGCAGGCUACGCGCGCAGCAGUCACAUCUGAACUGUUACACUUCAAAGGGCCGGGCGACGAUUGAUGUGUUACUGUCUGAGGAUGGCAACAGCUCAAAGGCAGAGAGAAACUGCAAAAGUUUUAAGUUUGAAGCUGAAGCGCGGACUUCAGAAGAGUUCGGCUUUGCACCGACUGAUUAGAGUAUAAGAAUGCAGUAAAUACAAUUUAAAAGUUAAAUUACCAUCUGGUCACAGCUAGAGGUAGAUUUCAGAAGCAGCACAAGUAAAUAGUUUCUUGCUCUCUGAACAAAUAAUUUUACAUUUCAACUAAGCCAUGUGGUAACUGGUACAAUUGAUUUCUGCUUGUAGUCAGUUACUGAACGGUUUCACAAUUGAUUUCAAUAGCCCUAGGAUGAAACUCUAUCUGCCAAGCAUACAAUGUUUGGUUGGUGCAGAUUGCAUUCAUACUGCUAAAAGCAAAAAAAAAGCUAUGGAAGGAAAUUGCCAUCUUGCGUUCAAGAGCCACGUGGAUGUGGCACUGGGGGACGUGGUCAGUGGGCAUGGCGGUGGUGGGCUGACGGUUGGACUGGAUGAUCUCAGAGGUCUUUUCCAACCUCGGUGAUCCUGUGAGUGCUGCAAAACCUGGAGCUGAGUUUGGCAUUAAAGCAGCGUGCUGUCUGUGCUGGAGGAGCUGUGGCGAGGCAGCGAUCUGCACAGCCCAGAGCCCCUCACUCUGUGCAGCCAAAUAGGAGUGGGGCUUUGGAGUUACCGGGAGCACUGCAACAGAGCCAAGAUGGAAUGCUUUGCUGGGCUGAGCUAGAGCAAUCUAAUUGAUGAUCCGUUUUACUCGUUACCAUACUGACUUGCCUCUAGGUCAGUAUAGGCUACAGGAAGUUUGUCUUUGGCAAAGAGUCUUCCUAAAGCCCAGUGGAAAUUCUCAAGUUUCUGCCUUCACUUUCAACUGCGGCUAAGAGAUGGAAGGAUCACAAGCAGGAGAGGAAACUUCUUGCCCUCAGUACCCUGCAGCUUUUUUUCUGGACCUGUGAUCCUCAGGAGACAAAGCUAUCUGAUGUCCCCAGGGCGACCUUUCCUUUUCAGUAGGUUUUAGUGCUUGAGGUUCAGCCCGCAGCCCUGUGAUUAACCACCUCCCCUGAGUAGACACAGAGCGCACUAUGUAUCACUACUGGAAACACAAAGCCCUUCAUCCUACAAAACUGUAUCAGCAAGGAGAUACCGCGCGGUGCCCCGUGGAUCCCUGUGGAUGUGCGUUCCCCACCACUGACACAGAUGGCGAGCAACAGAAUCCUCCGUGACCCAUUUUUAGAUCCAUUUGACACCUGCUUCAUAUGCUCGUGUAAAACCAGAGAUUUCAAGCUGAAAAAAAGCUUGCCAUAGUUGUUACUGGAUUAGAGGGAAUCUUUUUUUCAGCUCAUACAACAAAUUCCUUUUCCGCCUCUGGAGAGACCCACUUUAAGCUUUAGUCUAAUGGCAGGAUUGGAGAGGUUCUUUAAGCCCCCGUGGUGGCUGCAGCAUCCGUGGUUUGACAGAGAGGGGAGGCGUGGGACAGUGUGUGCAAAGUGACUGGGGCUUGUGGUUGACAAAGGGUAGUGAUGCGUCUCAACAUUCUUGUGCGCUUGCUUUGGGGGUGUGGAGCCACGUGGUGGGGUGGGGAGUGGAGAAGAGAGCAUUUUUCUUCUCUGAUUCAGUGUGGAUCUGCAGUUUUCCUUCUCCAUGAGCAGUGCAGAACUUUCCCAAAGCUGAAGAGAGUUCUCAGUCUUGCCUUUGUCUGGAAAAGCGUGUUUUAUAGCAUGAGAGCAAGGGAUAAGUGCAGCCUAAAGGGCCUGAGUCAUAUGAGCUGUCACUUAGCCAUCUAUCUAAUACCGAUUAACUACAAGACAGUUUUAGAUUUUCUUCUCUUUUUUUUCCCAAAGAAAUCAACUCAUGACUCAGUACCACAAAAAUGAAAAAGGGAAAAUUCAGGGUAGUCUCAUUUUUGGCUGAGUGAAUGAAGGACUCUUAGAUGACCCGACAUUUAUUUCCUCCUCUUACAGUGCAAACUGCAUUUUUGCUGUAGCUGGAACACUGAUUCUUACCACAAGCAGAACAGCAUGAAUGUGAGGCUGUUUGAAGAGGGGGCCUUGAUGGACAGUUGUUUUUAAAGGACUGCUUUCCUGAGAAAUGGACUUGAGUAACUCAGGCACCAUAUGCUUCCUGCUGUGCAAAGGCAUGGGUAAAUUUCUGUAUGGUUGGGCACUGGAAGUAAAUGCGGCAUAAGAAAUAGGUUUGGACACAGAACGCAGAUCCAUACUUAGUGGAUGGAAUUCAUAACACCACUGUACGGAGGCACUGGGUUGUGAAAAAGAAUCUGACUUUGGUGAGGUGAAGGAUGCAUUUUCGACCAAGGACUGAACUGAAUCAGUAGACUUAGACUAGAUAUCAGGAAGCAGUUAUUUACUGUGAGUGUGGUGAGACACUGGAACAGGUUGCCCAGAAAGGUUGUGAAUGCCCCCUCCCUGGAAGCAUUCAAGGCCAGGCUGGAUGGGACUUUGAGCAACCUGGUCUAGAGGGAGGUGUCCCUGCCCAUAGCAGAGGGUUGGAACUGGAUGAUAUUAAAGGUCCCUUCCAACCCAAACCAUUCUAUGAUUCUAUGACUGGACUCAGCCUUCAGAGCUGGCAGCACAUUUCUCAAUGUAAUGGCCUCCUAGAAGUUUACAUGCUGCAAUAAUGACAGAGUUUGAAGACCCCCAGUGUGUUCCCUAUUCAACUUCAGUUGGUUGAUUUUUUUCUGGGCAUGUCUGAGCUGGAGCUCAGCAGCAGUCCUCUCCCAAAAGUGAUUUAUACGAAAGAUCUGGCAUCCCCGGUUUCUAUUGAAUUGCAGUCCCUGCAAAUGGUCUGAUAAAAUCAGAUACUCUGAUAAAAAUCUCUACGCUUAUUCUUUGAUUACUGAGCAAGCUCAAUUUCAUCAUGGUGAAGUAGAAGCCAGCGGUUACAAUUACCUUUCCUUCCUUUCAUCUGGCUUUUAAUAUUUGGAUUUAAGAUGGAAAAAUUACAAAUGAAUAAAUCUGCACCAAGUCUAGUCAAGAUUUUUCUCUGUAUAAUAAUAUUAUUCAUAUCUCUAUGAUUAGCAACAGCUGGAAUAAAUUUUAGUAAAAAUAUAUUAAAAUCUGCAUUGUGGAGUAAGCCACAUGGAGUCACUGUAAUUUGAGGAAGGAAAAAGUUUUCAUAAAAGCUACUGAGAAAGGAAUAUGGAUUUUUCUUUCAGGUGACUUUUUUCCAUUUUGUUUUCGCAAGCAGAUCUGGUUUUAUUUCACUGUGCUCAACUUUCUGGUGCUCGUGUUGGACAAACACUUGAGAUACAGCAGUACCUCAACCAGCCACGCUGGACACUGCUUCUUCUCACUAAACCAAGGUGUACCGAGCUGCUCAAGCUGUGUUAAAGCAAAGUUUUCAGCUGCCAUUACAAUGACCUAAUCCAGUGCUGGUGCUAUAUCAGCUGGAAAGCUAUUAGGCAGCUCCACUUUUCACCUGCAAACAUCAUCUGUACCAGCUGCUGUUUUCAGAAAGUGGCUGAGAAAUGCGCAGGCAGCCAAUAGAUCAGUUAGAAUCAAAGCAAUAAAACUCUGUACAGCUUCUCGAGAGAAAUAAUUUGAAACCCCAGUUCAGUGGCCAACUGAAAAGGGCAGCAUCAGGAGGAAGUAGAGUGGGGAAGAGGCAGCUGGGAAUUACUGGAGCAGCUUUUCAGUGCUCCCUUUUCUCUCUGCGUUGUUCCAUAUGUCUAAAUGACCCUCAGACUGGAGGUGGGCUGAAGUGGACCCUCCUUAGAGGUCCUUGCUUCUUCAGUAGUCAUCUGCACUCCUGAGAAUCUGCUGUAGACAGAUAACAUAUGUUGCAAAGCGUGAGGAAUUUUUAAUAAAAAUAUAAAGAACUUUCUGAAUGAAAGUGAUUACCUAAGUGUGGGAAUGCCAGAGAGAAGAGCGGAAUGGUAGGUGCAGAUGGCACCUCAGCCAGCAGGUCAUCAAGGUGACAACGGGUCUGUGUGAGACUAACCAGAACCUCCUAAAACCGAAGACAGUCUACACAGCGAGCAAAAUGAAGGACAGGCUAAUAAACCAGAGCCCUCAAGAAGUGAUGAAAGGAAGAAAAAAGCAGGCAAGGAGCCAUAAAACACCCAGAUAAGGACAGAAAAGCAAAUACUAAGCCAGGGGUGGAACAGGAUGAGGAAACAAAAGAUCACACUGUCAACUCUUAGGAGAUCCAAGAGCAGCACUUGGCUUCCAGUCCGUGGAGAACCUAGGCGACAUGUUGAGAUGCCUACAGAUGUCCCUUUCCAUCUUCACCACCACAAGUCACCUGGGCCAGAGCACCUGGACCCAUCCAUUUUGGUGUUUGGAAGCAUGAAGGCAAACACAAGCUCAGGAUUGCAGCUCCUCCUGUUAGUGGGUGCCACAGGGCUCCUUCCUCCCAGGCUCUGGGAUCACAUCUUCUCUCCAAGGAGAGCAAUGCAAAACAUCAACAUAUGAAACCUUCCAAGUGAGGAAACUCCAGACAGCACAGAAACUCCAUGAACGCAGACAGCCCCAGCUCAUCACACCUGCCAUUUUCUCCCGUCCCUGGAAUAUGGGACCCAACGGCUUGGCUCGAGUUUCAUCUUACAUAACUGCCACUCACAGGGUCCUUCUGAGAUUUUCCUGUGGGCUGUUUAGAGACUUGCAAAGAUGCUCCGUGGCCCAGCAUAUCUUAGCUGUUAUAGACUUAAUUCCAGAGCUUUGUUCCUCAGGCACAACGCAACCUUUUUCUUUGUACAGUAGAGGUCAUGUAUGCUGAGACAGAGCUUCCCUAGAUUCUGUUGCAAGAAUAAUGAGUGUUUCUCUGCAAAACCUGGGAAAAAAAAAAAAAAAAAAAAAAGAAGAAGAAGAAGAAAAAAAAGAAGGAUUUCCAUGAUCCCCAUCAUCAUCUCAGUGCAAAAGGCCAACGCUCUCCGGUGCAAACAAAAACAAUAAUAAUAGCAAACAAACCACUCUAUCAAACCACAGUACUCCUCUCCACUCUUAAUUCUUCCUUGGGAAAAGAUGGAGAGAAAACAAAUUAGCUUCCUGAGGGUUACCACUGCUUAAAAGGAUCUGUUGAUGAAAUCAGUAAAAGAACAUACUGAGCUUGCUCUGAAUAGGCAAGGGCUGUAGAAGAGCCUCAAGGAAAAUUCGGGCGCAGUCCGACAUUGAAGAAGUUGGGUCUAUUUCUAGUUAUCUCAGUAUUGACGUAGCUCAACCAUUGUGAGGAACAGGAAAUUCAUAAAGACUGGGUUAGUCUUUUUGGCAAGAGGCUGGCAUCUGCCAUGGGACAUUAAUCCAUUCUAAGCUGCAGUAAGCUGAGCUGCUGGGCGAGUGAUGAGCUCACCAAUGUUGGUAAAAAUGAAUUUGAAAGUCUAACUGGUUAUCACUGGAUAUCACAGAUGGAGAAUAAUUACUUGACAGAUUGGCAAACUGAGAUUAUCUGCAAAUAUUAUGAGAGACAUUGGAAGCUCU
ensembl:lncRNA